AGUGGCUAGUUGUGCUCCCCU
rnacentral:miRNA from 1 species